UACGAAGGGGGCUAGCGUUGUUCGGAUUUACUGGGCGUAAAGCGCACGUAGGCGGAUCGUUAAGUCGGGGGGUGAAAUCCUGGAGCUCAACUCCAGAACUGCCCUCGAUACUGGCGAUCUUGAGUCCGGAAGAGGUGAGUGGAACUCCUAGUGUAGAGGUGGAAUUCGUAGAUAUUAGGAAGAACACCAGUGGCGAAGGCGGCUCACUGGUCCGGUACUGACGCUGAGGUGCGAAAGCGUGGGGAGCAAACAGG
rnacentral:rRNA from 1 species